GUCAGUCAUUCAUUUAUUUGUAGUUGCAAUGACAUAUCCAUCUAUAAAUUACACACACACACGCACACCCCAGAUUCUAGGAGAUUCAAUCUCAUUUACGGGUGUCAAGGAGCCACUAUCAAUAUGUGGGAGAGUUUGGAUGUCUAACUUUGUAGUAAAAACACACGUAAAACAGAUGUUGCACAGUCAAAGCACUUGUAAAAUUAAAUAACUAAUUUUGGGUUUUGUUACAGACCGACUUUGUCAACUAUAAGGCCAUUGUGUCCUUUAUUAACAUUGGCAAUGUACACUGGAAGUUUCUGUACAUCAGUGCUGCAGAUAGUACUGUCUAUGUUGUUGAUCCCGCACGCAGUGCUACCGAGCAGGCAGACUCAGACAACGCAGCAAAGAGAUUACGCUACUGGGUGUGCGGCGCAGGGGCCGGGGCUUCCAGUACUUGGUUGACUGGGAGGGAUAUGGCCCAGAGGAGAGGAGCUGGGUCUCGUCAGCUUAUUUUGGAUCCCUCUCUAAUCCGGGACUUCUAUCAGCAGCAUCCUGACAAGCCUGGUAGGCCACCUGGAGGUGCCCGUUCAGGGGGGGGGUACUGUCACAAUGGCAGUCGUGACUGACAUAUAAACCCUGGCCUUCCUCCCACUCCUUGUCAGAUCGUUUGUUCAGCCUCCGUGGUAGUUCACGUUCGGACCAUCCUAAACUACUUGUUCCUUGUGCUCCUUGUUGAUUUCCUGACCUCUAACCACCGAUCUCUUGUGCUCAGGUCCACCAUCUUCACCUCCUGCCACCUGCUUGCCUGCUCUCCAUCCACCAUCUUCAGACCGUCCAGACUCCGUGCCUCCUCCAUCCAUUCCCACCACUGCUUCACCUCAGCCAUUCCCUCCACCUCUUAUCGGACCCUCUCCUUCCCCUCUUCUCCCACAUCACAAUAAAUCCCCUUCUCCCACUAACCUUUGUCCGAGCCUGCAUUCUGGGUCAACCUGUGCAACCAUGACAGAACGAUCUGACCAGAACUUUGACCCAGCAGUCUCGGCUGGACUUCUUCAAGCCUCUUCGGAUCACCGCCAAGCCCUUGCCUCUCAAGGAACCCUCAUUGGCCAACAUGACCGUGUUCUUCAUGAAGUAGUAGAGACUUUGAGAGGUUUGACUGCUACUGUGUCCAGAAUCCAGAACCAGUUUAGUGCUGCCCAAUCCCCAUCAGUUCCAGCUAGUCCCAGUCCCUUCAUUCCUGGCCCACCUCCCGCGAUGCCUUCUUAUAUGCCCAGAGAACCUUAUGUCCCGGCACCUGAGCGCUAUGAUGGUGAUCUGGGGACUUGUCAGUCUUUUUUGCUUCAAUGCUCCCUUGUUUUUGAUCUACAGCCACAGACAUAUGCCUACAGACAAGUCCAAAAUUGCCUUCAUUGUUGGGUUGCUAACUGGGAGGGCUAGAGCUUGGGGUGCUGCUGUUUGGAGUGGCUCUCCACUGAUUAACUCCUCCUAUGCCAGCUUUGUGGCAGAGAUGAGAAAAGUUUUUGACCACCCUGUUAAGGGUAAAGAUGCCAGUCAGCAUCUAUUAUCCCUUCACCAAGGUGCCCGCAGUGUAGCUGACUAUUCAGUGGAGUUCAGAACACUGGCAGCAGAGUCAGGCUGGAACGAUGAGUCACUUCAGGGGGUUUUUCUUAAGGGGUUAAGCGAAGCAGUGAAGGAUGAGUUGGCUGUCAAGGAUGAGUCAGACAGCUUGGAUAGCUUAAUUGCCUUAGCCAUCAGGCUAGAUAAUUGCCUGCGGGAGCGUCGUAGGGAGAGAGCUGCCCGUCCGGUACCAUCACCUUUUCCCAAGAUGGGUUCCGAACCCUCACCCAUAUCUAGUGUGGUCGCCAGUAACCCUUCCUCCAGCUCCGAAGAGGAACCCAUGCAGUUGGGCCGAAACCGUCUCUCCCCAGCAGAACGGUUGCAGAGAGUUCGAGCUGGAGUGUGUAUUUACUGUGGACAGGCAGGGCAUUUCCUGGUUUCUUGUCCCCUGCGGUUAAAAGAGAAGACUCAUCAGUAGCAGUCGGGGUUCUGGUGAGUCGACCCUCUGUCUCUUUGUUUCCCCGGACCCGUAUUCAACUCAAUGCCAUUAUUGUGACUAACUCUCAAACUCUCUCCCUCCUUGCCCUAGUGGAUUCUGGGGCUGAUGAGAACUUGCUUGAUUCCAAUCUGGUAGCCCAAGCUGGCAUUCAGGUUGAACCGCUCUCCACCCCUGUGGAUGCUAAUGCUCUUAAUGGUGAACUUCUCGCUCAGGUCACUCACCGCACAGAGUCCCUUUAUCUCCUGCUCUCUGGUAACCAUCGUGAAACCAUCAAGUUCCAUGUGAUACCUUCUUCUCGUGCCCCAAUAGUCCUUGGUCUGCUCUGGCUUCAAAAGCACAAUCCACACAUUGACUGGUGAGUUGGAGCUCCUUUUGCCAUGCUUCAUGUCUGCAGUCUGCUCUCACACCUGUUAAAACCGAGUCUCCCCCCUCUGUUCCUGAGUCUCCUGAUUUGACAUCCAUUCCUUCUGUCUACCAUGACUUAGGAGAAGUUUUUAGUAAACAACGAGCUCUUUCUCUGCCUCCUCAUCGUCCCUAUGACUGUGCCAUUGAUAUCCUUCCAGGUGCUCCCCUGCCCUCUAGUCGACUGUAUAAUUUAUCUCGCCCUGAGAGAGAGGCAAUGGAGAGAUACAUUCAUGACUCUUUGGCUGCAGGAAUCAUCCGUCCAUCCUCUUCUCCUCUGGGUGCUGGUUUCUUCUUUGUAUCCAAGAAGGAUAAGACUCUGCAACCAUGCAUUGACUACCGUGGACUUAACAACAUCACCAUAAAACAAAUAUCCUUUGCCUUGAUCAGUUCUGCUUUUGAGUCCUUGCAGGGAGCCACCAUCUUCUCCAAACUGGACCUGCGGAAUGCCUACCAUCUUGUCAGGAUCAGAGAGGGAGACGAGUGGAAGACAGGUUUCAAUACCCCCCUUGGCCACUUUGAAUAUCUGGUAAUGCCUUUUGGACUCACCAAUGCACCUGCUGUUUUCCAGGCCCUAGUGAAUGAUGUCCUCCGUGAUUUUCUCAAUCGCUCAGUCUUUGUCUAUUUGGAUGACAUUCUCAUCUUCUCCAGGAGUACAGAGGAACAUGUUCAGCACGUCAGACAAGUCCUCCAGAGGCUCUUGGACAACAAACUGUUUGUAAAGGCUGAGAAGAGCGAGUUCCAUGUGUCAUCAGUGGCUUUCCUGGGAUACAUUGUUGAGAGCGGGCAAGUGAAGACAGACCCAACCAAGACACAAGCUGUUGUGGAGUGGCCCAGACCAACUUCCCGUAAGCAGCUUCAACGGUUCCUUGGUUUUGCAAAUUUCUAUCGCAGGUUUAUCAGACUACAGUCGUGUUGCUGCCCCCCUUUCCAAGCUCACAUCCCCAACUCUCCCCUUUUCCUGGACUCCAGAAGCUGAAGCGGCCUUCACUGGUCUCAUAAGACGUUUUACCGCCUCAACUCCCGUCAGGCCCGGUGGGCAUUAUUCUUUGGUCGAUUCACCUUCACCUUAACCUAUCGUCCUGGAUCCAGCAACAUAAAGCCUGAUGCUCUCUCCCGCCAGUUUGGUCCCGAAGAUGCUCCCUUGGCAUCAUCUACCAUCCUGCCUCCGUCCUGUGUAGUAGCAGCUGUGACCUGGGAGAUUGAGGAGGGCCCAGCAACACCAACCAGAUCCUGGUACAGGUCCAGCUAACCGCCUCUUUGUCCCAGACGCAGUGCGUUCUCAAGUUUGCCUGCCAUCCUGGGAUCAGCCGCACCCUGUCACUCCUGCAACAAUAUUUUUGGUGGCCCAACAUGGUCACAGACACCCAAACAUUUGUUUCUGCUUGUUCUGUGUGUGCUGGGGAAGGCAUCGCAUAAACCGCCUGCUGCGUCCCUUACCUGUUCCAGGUCGUCCUUGGUCUCACAUCGCAAUUGAUUUUGUUACUGGACUGCCCUCUUCACGAGGUAAGACAGUCAUCCUGACCAUUGUGGACAGGUUUUCUAAAGCUGUGCAUUUUGUGGCUCUUAAACUCCCCUCUGCUCUUGAGACAGCUGAACUCCUGGUGCUUCAUGUCUUUCGUCUUCACGGUAUUCCCUUGGACAUUGUCUCUGACCGUGGUCCUCAAUUCACCUCUCAGGUUUGGAAGGCAUUCUGUCAGGCCCUUGGAGCUUCUGUGAGUUUGUCUUCUGGUUUUCAUCCUCAGACCAAUGGGCAAACAGAACAAGCCAACCAAGACUUAUAGGCAGCUCUCCGUUGUGUCUGCCAGGAACCCCACCUCUUGGAGUGUCCGUCUUCCCUGGAUUAACUACGCCCACAACUCCCUAAAAAGUGCAGCCACAGGUAUGACCCCAUUUGAAUGCUCUCUGGGUUACUUACCACCACUGUUUCCUGCCCAGGAGGGUGAGGUUGCUGUUCCUUCGGUCCAGGCCCAUCUUCGCCGAUGUCGUAGGCUCUGGAAGGAUGCUCGCUCUGCGUUACUCCGUUCUGUUGACCGCAAUCGUCAUUACGCUAACUGCCUGCGGACACCAGCCCUACUGUCCGGCAGCUACUGUGCGUCACAGGGGCCGGGCCUUCUAGUACUUGGUUGACUGGGAGGGAUAUGGCCCAGAGGAGAGGAGCUGUGUCUCGUCGGCUUAUUUUGGAUCCCUCUUUAAUGCGGGACUUCUAUCAGCAGCAUCCUGACAAGCCUGGUAGGCCACCAACUACAUAUAAACCCUGGCCUUCCUCCCACUCCUUGUCAGAUCGUUUGUUCAGCCUCCGUGGUAGUUCACGUUCGGACCAACUUAAACUAGUUGUUGCUUGUGCUCCUUGUUGAUUUCCUGACCUCUAACCACCGAUCUCUUGUGCUCAGGUCCACCAUCUUCACCUCCUGCCACCUGCUCUCCAUCCACCAUCUUCAGACCGUCCAGACUCUGUGCCUCCUCCAUUCCCUCCACCUCUUAUCGGACCCUCUCCUUCCCCUCUUCUCCCACAUCACAAUAAAUCCCCUUCUCCCACUAACCGUUGUCCGAGCCUGCAUUCUGGGUCAACCUGUGCAACCAUGACAGUCACCCUUGCUAAACACCAAAAAAAGUUAGGAGAGACUCGUGACAACUUAAAGACAUCAUUACCAACAUCAUUUUUUUCAAUCAAACUUGUUAACACUAUUAGCCGAACAAGUGUUACAUUACUUGUGAUUCUGACCCCAAAAUAUUAACUCUGUCUAACUCUCUCUUUACUACGACAUACAUUGUUUUCUUGGUAAUAAUGUGUACAUAUUCCUCACAUUAACCACUUUUUAAAAAAAAAGUCCUUUCACAGUGAGUACUUCAACAUGAGGAGGAUCUGUCUGGGGAGCACUGACUGGGUCAGUCUUAAGUGGAAAGGUGGUGUUCUGGAACACCCAUUUCAGAGAGACGGGAGUAGCUGCGGUGUGAUUGUCAUCAAAAUGGCAAAGGCAGUCAUGGAGGCUUUUCCAAAGAAAGCAGAAAUGUCAUUUGGGAUAUCUCCAAGACUGAUGGCAGAUGACAGAAAACACUUGGCUCUCGAGCUCCUGGAAGCCUCAGUGGCACGUGUUUAACACAGAGACCAGCUGUGCCAUGUGCUCAGCAGUAAAACCACCAAUUAAAGGGCCUGACUUAACAAACUGGAUUCAGUGUGACACCUGCUGCAGGUGGUUCCAUGUUGAGUGCAUCAACAUGGACUUGGAAACACUUGAGCAGGCAGAGAGUACAGACUGGAAUUGUGUUAUUUGUGAACAAUGAACAACUUCAACAAUGAUCUCAGACUAUAUAUACAGUCUAUAUUCAUCCUGCUCCCACAUUUUACUAGUGAAUGAUGUUAUUUGUUCCUCAAAUGUGGAGCUGAGACAUGAAGGGUUUGUAAUGAUGUUUUCAGUUUUCAACUGAGUUGUUUAGUUUUUCCUCUGUGUUUGGAGUUUAAACCUCUUGAUUUGUUCAGCUUAAUUUUGAUUUUGAACAAAUAAAAACUAAUAUUUAAAAA